ACUAUGUUUAAUUUUACCAUAUCCAAUAAUAGUAAUGGUAACCAUGAUUUUUAUAGUAAUAAUGAUGCUUUUGCUCAAACUCACUAUGAUCUGACAGAUAACCGCAUAGUAAUUGGAACUAUCAAACGUGGUUCACACAAUCACAUUUUCCGUGCUUGUUAUAACCAUCUCCGUGUUUACUUGUUACUAUUUACAUGGUUAGUUUGAAUAUACAUAAUUGUACUUUUAGUUUUCUUGUCAGUUCUUGUCAAAAAUUUGUCGAAGUUCAAAACGCAAAUUCUGAAAAAGAAGUCUCUGAGGAACUUUGCGGCUGCUAGUGAAAUCGGCGAAACGUUUUCAUGGUGCAUCAUGCUAGCGCGCGGCUCACCCAGAGGACUGCGGAAUAUAAUUCAUUGGAGGCAGCGCCUCUUCCGGAUAUACUGCAUCACUUGUACCGCUUCGUAGGCGCUUAUCAUGUUUGUUUGCUACUCCGCACCAUCAAAUGGUCCGGUCCGGAACUUCUUAUUUCGAAGAUACGGUGAAGGUUUCAUUUUCGGGGCAGCUAGAUGACAUCAGAAUAUCGCAUCGCGUAAUGAAUACGGAGAACCUAUUAGCAAGAACCUUAGACUCGAUUAUAUAGAUCUGGCCAGUUGCUUGUGUGCAAAAUCAUUAAUAUUGUUCACAAGAUUUGUUAUACUUAUAUUAUUUAUAUUGAAUAAAUUCAAUGAAAUAUUUAUUUUUCAAUAAUUAUUUUAAAUAUAAACAAAAAAGGAGACACUACCCCACUACCAUUGAACCACAUGCAUAGUAAUCAGAACCAUGUAGCGAUGGUUACAUUUACCAUGUUGUUUGUCAUGCACAUAGUAAAAGUUACCCUCGAAAUAAUGUUUAAGAAUACUAUGAAAUGUAAACAUUGAUCGGCAUAGUAAAUUUAACCCUCCACCUAGUGGAAUCAAGAAAAAAAUAUGGUCUACGAAAAUCAAGUACACUGAGAAAAAUUCUAUAGUAAAAAUAACCAUCAGCACAUGCUUAAUUUUACCAUGCCUUAAAAUAGUAAUGAUGAAUACAUUUUCAAUUAUGACUACCAUGUUUUUCUUAAAAUUACUAUGCUUUAGUAACCAAACGAAUAGUAACUAACACCAUCGAUUAUAGUUACUUUCACUACACCAUUCGUGGUAUUCCUUACUAUUUUUCACUAUGUCUAUAGUAAAACAAGCAAAAUCCUGUCCAAUCUCUCAAUAAAUUUGUUCAAGUUUUACAAACACGUUUUCAAAAACAAUUUGUCGUGGAAUUGGUAAGUUUAACAUUGUUUCCAAUAAUUGAAUAAUAGCAUAUAUCAAUAAUAACACUAUUGAUUAGAAUCUACAGCAAUACACAUUCCAAUGGUGAUCAAAUCGGCUGCAACUCUCUUAGCCGAAGUAAAUUAAUCUUGAGGAACCAAGGGGAACGGCAGUAACAUCCGGUUACGUGAAUCCCAGUGAGUAAUCGUUCGAGGAUCCGAAAAAUCCUGCAGGUGCACGAGACGCGGAAGAACGGCGCCGAUGGACGAUGUUGGAAGGCGAAGGUUCGAGUUCUAGAUAAUUUUGGGCAAAGAUGACCAGCAACGGAAGUUAACAGCGCGGUUAUGCUCACGUUUGUCUUAAACUCAUCGUUCCUUGAGGAUAGACUGCUACAUUCGAAGCCGUUGGAACUUCCGUUGGAGGAGCAGAAGUCUUUCUCACCGUCACAACCGGGUGCAGACAAGGAUAAGAAAAGGACCAACGACAUUCAAGAUUCCAUUUGAUGAGAAAGCCAACUUAUUCACAGAGGUUCUGGAUAUCGAAUAUUUUGCCCAUGAUUGUUCAGGUCACGCUGCUUCCCAAACCGGAUUAAAAGCAUUUUUCUGCCAGAAUGAAGUGCCGAGUCCGGAAAGUACAUCGGAUCCUUCCAAGUCCGCUAAAUAAUGCAUUCCACGAAAAACACAGCUUCAAUUUAUCGGCCAGGAAGUUAUAUUAUGAUCUUAAUAUGAUUAAACAGUAAUAAAACCUGCAAGAGAUCCAAUAAAUUUUAGUUUUUUU